ACGUAUGGGGCAAGCGUUGUUCGGAAUUAUUGGGCGUAAAGGGCGUCUAGGCGGGGGAUUAAGUUAGAUGUGAAAGCUAUGGGCUCAACCCAUAAACUGCAUCUAAGACUGGUUCUCUUGAGUCCGGGAGAGGAGCGCGGAAUUCCAGGUGUAGCGGUGAAAUGCGUAGAUAUCUGGAAGAACGCCAGAGGCGAAGGCGGCUCACUGGCUUAGUUCUGACGCUGAUGCGCGAAAGCGUGGGGAGCAAAAAG
rnacentral:rRNA from 1 species